UGUUGGAUGAUGAAAUGAAUUAGACGGAUUCCAACUGAUUUUUUAAUACACGAUUAAGUAGCAACUUCUGAGAACG